AGAGCCCACAUGCAAGAUCAGAAGCUUUUAUCUUGAAAAGUUCUUUCUUUCGAAAUUGCACGUGCGAGCGCCGUUCACAUGUGAGCUUUUCUCUCCGCAAGCAUAGCUUACGGCUAGCCCUUCGAGAACCUUCUUAGCUCUCUCAUACACAGCUUUUCGAGGGGUAAAAUAGUAAGGCUAAGUGCAUGCUGCACAGAACAAAAAUUGCAUUCAAAGUUGGAAGACUUAAUUAAUGUGCGUGUAGAAAAUAUACAUAAAAAAAAAACUAGGUGAAAAUUUUGGAAAACCAUAAAAGGGAACAUAAACCAAAUAAAAACAAUUUUAAAAGUGUUGUGGCUGCAAAGACAAAAACUUAAAAACCAACCCCUGGAUAAGGUACGCAAAAAAAAAAAUGAAAAGUGACCUUAUUACAUAAUUCCAUGUAUGUACUGUACAUAGGUUAUGAUCCACGUGUGGCAGGAAAUUGCUGACCUGGCCUGACCCUCGGUCUCGGAGGGUGGUCCGCUCCAGUACCACGAUCAUCUUCUUCCUUCUUUUCGGUGCCACCGGACCUUGCAUGCAGGCCGAGAAACGGAUGGACUUGGCGAUCGGGACCGAGUUGUUUAUAUCUAACGCGCAACUAAGCCGCUCAACAACAACGAUAAUAUAAAACCAUCUAAUAUAUUAUAUCACCGCGCCUUGUGUAAAGAAAAUGUUGUUGCUUGCAUAUGUAGGGUGUGGAAAAAUUAGCUCAGCGGUCAAUGCCCUUGCGGCUGACCAUACACCUAAGCGCACUUAAAUAGACCCACCUGACCGUAUGUCACCUAUUCUCUCCUUCUCUCAGGUUAUUAAAAUUGUUCGAUGCCGACAUUCUAAAAGCCACUUAAGGGAAGAAAAGUAAAUCACAAAAAUCUAGAAAAGAAAAUUUAAUGAAAAAUUAUGGAUAGAAGAAAAAAAUAGAAAAGAAAAUUGUUCAAUAAUAUUAAAUAUUCCUAGACAUUAACUUAGAAAUAGAAGAAGAAAAACAUGAAAUUUAUGCCUAGUUAAUAAUAGAUUCUAAAAGGGUGCAUCAUCGGUCUCAUUGUGUCCAUGCAAGGGUAUUGGUUAAAUACCUCUUCAUAACGCUUCUUGUUAUUUUGCAUAUUUCUACAUUUCUUUGUAUUGUUUGUAUUGCGAACGUGAAAUUGGGCCCAACGACACCAACAGCUGUUUAAAAGUCUGUAAGUAUACACACAUAUAUACACAUACACUCCGGGUCAGGAGAAUAGCGUCUACACAGUGAGACAUGCAUGCUUAACCAUAUAUAAAAUGAAUUACUACAAUUAUGCCAUUUAAUUCAUUUAAUUAAUUCAUUCUUACUUUAUAUUUUGAUUAUAUUAUUUUUAUUCAUAUUUGAUCAUUCUCUUGAAUUCCUAUGUAUUAAAUUAGUCCCACAUAUAUAUACACAUGAAGUAAAAAUAGGUUUAAGGGUUAGGGUAGAAAUAAUGGGGGUUACAAACAACCUGAAGUCUUACAAGUCAAAGUAAAAUUAUAACGAUUUAACAUGAAUUUCUAAUCUGAUUUUUGGGAGGGGUUCCUAAGGCACAUAGGCAGCAGCGGCAGGUUUUGGGUAGAACCAUAAUGGCAUAUUCUUAUGUUAUUCUACAACCACCUUGCUCUUCACAGUAGGUGGUGGACCUUGAGUUCCGUCCGGGUUUGUAAUUCCGAUCCCAGUUCCCGUAAAUCUGUCUACGAUUUGGUUAGGUGACGGAGUUCGUUUUCGCAGCAAAACACCCACCCCAUUUUCCCUGAGCCUAGCCGGCCAACCUUUAGUAGACAGAGAGUGCUGACGUGACGACACUUCCCGUGUCCGUUACAGCUUCGGUUUUACUCUCCGCCAGUUCCAAACCGUUGUGUCGUCUUUGUCGUCGUUCAUGAUAACAACAACACUUUGUAAUUGCUUAUCAGUAACCAAUGUUUGGUUUGCUUUUGUUUUGUGUUUA
rnacentral:lncRNA from 1 species